GUCGCGAUGCCAGAGUGGUUAAUGGGUGUGCCUGCUACUCCUCGGUUCUUCGGAAUCGACUAGCGUUAGCACAUGGCUUCGGCCGCGCAAGUUCGAAUCUUGUUCGCGACG
rfam:Xylona heveae TC161 unplaced genomic scaffold L228scaffold_4, whole genome shotgun sequence.